UAGGUUUUCAAUGUCGACGAACAUAGGGUGAGUUCUCUGGUUUCCACAAAAAAAAUUCUCGUUUAUCUUCUUGAUUAUGCCUUCUGCGUCACUUUCUAUCCCAUGUUGUCUGCAAAGCUUCUUUUAUAGCGCGAGUUUCUUCCUUUUCUGCAGAAAAACACAGAAUGUAAAUUGCUUCUGUUAUCAAAAAUUGGUGCCUAGAAUUUCUGAAGAUAAAUCUAAUUCCCCCAUUCGUUGAGUAGAUGUUCCAAGCCCCAUUACAGUUUAUUUUUAUCCUAUCACUAUGAGGAGGAUUCCAGGUAGAUUGAUUUGGUGCAACAAUUAUGGCAGAGAUUUCAAAGAGAUAUGGUUGGUUAAUUUCUCCGCACCGGCAGCAUUGCUUUUGCUCUAGCCAAAAUUGAACUCGGUUCUUCGAUUUUCCCAUGGUGAACAAUUUCAUUUAUGCUGGUCCAGAUUGACCAAAUCAUACUUGCAACCAUCGGAAACAAUUCAAUUCUAUUGGAGUCAUCGUUAUAGGGGUUCAAUUGCAGCCAGUAUCUCACCCAUUCAACAAAGGGCAGAUGAAUUCUGAAAUAUGCAUUCUUUGGUGUUGGAUUAAUCUCACAGGAAGAUCUCCUUUCAAGGCCUUCCAUACAAAGAGCUUAAUCCUUACAGACAUUCUUUCUCUUUUUUGACUUGGGAUCCUCUCCCCACCAAUAUAUAUAAGGUGAGUGUCAGUUAUGUAUUGUUUUAAUUUCUGUUCAUGGUUUGGUUUUUGCUGUAUUGCUAUUUUGGUUUUGUUUGUUUGGGUUUUGGGUUGUUUGUGCAUCUAUCAUUGGGGUUUUGAUGAAAAAAGAGACCGUCAAUUAGCAUCAUUUUCAACUCCGAUCUACAGGAAAAGUGCAGUUUCAGCAUCAACUCCGGCGGCUUUGGUUACAUCGGCGUUCUUCAUCAGCUCUGGAUAUCCCCUGGUUUUUCAAUUAGGGUUUCUUCUUGAUCUAUUUUCAACUAGAUCAAUUUUUAUUUCGGCUGUUAGAACUAGUUUUACGUCUAAGUUAAAUCUUUUCUUUCCUUAUUUAGUCCCUGUAAUCUUUGGUCUUGUGACCCUUUCUUUGGAUUUGAUCUCCGAGUUUGGUGUUUGGUUUCUGAUGGUUGUUGGCUUAAAGACUAAGUUGUUAUGCGUCUUCUCCAAUGGGAAAUAGAGUUUUGUCGUCGCCGGCGGACUUUAUUUGUACCAGUUAAAGAAGAUGAGUAUCAAGAUGAAUCUUAUGGUAUCUUUUCCUUUGGAAUAGAUUUCUAUCAGAUGGUUUUAAAAAUUAUUGUUCUUCUGAGCCGUGAGUCAUGUAUCACCGAUUCAAGUUCUCUCGUAAAGACGGGCGUCGUUGUUCUACGGUUACAGUUUGAUGGUCGGGUGGAGAUUCAGGAUUCUGGUUACGAGAUGAUUCGGGUUACGGGAUUCAGUUUGGAAAUUAUUUAACUUUAGACUCUGUUUGUUUUGGAUUCUCUGUGUAACAUCGGUUUCCUGUUUAUUUAUUAA